UCUGAAAUAAUUUGCAAUUUUCUUCCGGUAGCGGUUAUGAGACAUCGCGAAGUUUCUUGAUCGUUAGCUUGAAUAUAAACGUGAAAAAUGUGAGUAUUUUAUUGACGAAGAUAAUUAAGACUGGAUGAAGGCGAAAUCGUAAUAAUGAGCUGGACGAUCGGAACGACGAUUUUAUGGUCGGUCGGUAAGGAGGUAGAAAAACGUGACCGCAAGUCUUGAUGAUCCGCAGAAACGCAAGGAACUGAACCGUCUCAUGACAAAUACUUAACCACGAUUCAAUUGGCAUAACUAUUAACAUAACCGCAAAAGGAGAUAAAAGAAACAUGAUAGAAAAUACUUUCACGGUGUUAAUGGAAUUUAUAUAAACGUCGACUACGGUAA